GCCGCCGUAGCUCAGUUGGCAGAGCGAUCGCCUUGUAAGCGAUAGGUCGUGGGUUCAAUCCCCACCGGCGGCUCCA
rnacentral:tRNA from 1 species